rnacentral:rRNA from 1 species
UACAGGGGAUGCAAGUGUUAUCCGGAAUUAUUGGGCGUAAAGCGUCUGUAGGUGGACUCUUAAGUCUUUUGUUAAAAAUUUAGGCUUAACCUAGAAAAAGCAAAAGAAACUAUUUGUCUUGAGUAUGGUAGAGGUAAAGGGAAUUUCCAGUGGAGUGGUGAAAUAUGUAGAUAUUGGAAAGAACACCAACGGCGAAGGCACUUUACUGGGCCAAUACUGACACUCAGAGACGAAAGCUAGGGGAGCAAACCGG